rnacentral:rRNA from 1 species
CGCAAUGGGGGCAACCCUGAUGGAGCAACGCCGCGUGCAGGAUGAAGGUUUUCGGAUCGUAAACUGCUUUUAUUUGUGACGAUUAUGACAGUAGCAAAUGAAUAAGGGUCGGCUAACUACGUGCCAGCAGCCGCGGUCAUACGUAGGACCCAAGCGUUAUCCGGAAUUACUGGGCGUAAAGAGUUGCGUAGGUGGCAUAGUAAGUGGAUAGUGAAAUCGUGCGGCUCAACCGUAUACACAUUAUCUAAACUGCUAGGCUUGAGUGAGAUAGAGGUAACUGGAAUUCCAAGUGUAGGAGUGAAAUCCGUAGAUAUUUGGAGGAACACCGAUGGCGUAGGCAGGUUACUGGAUCUCAACUGACACUGAGGCACGAAAGCGU